rnacentral:rRNA from 1 species
AUUGAACGCUGGCGGCAGGCUUAACACAUGCAAGUCGAGCGGAGCGGCGGACGGGUGCGUAAUGCCUAGGUAUCUGCCUGGACGUGGGGGAUAACGUCCGUAAACGGGCGCUAAUACCGCUUACUUUCAUUUGAGCCUCGGUCGGAUUAUCUGGUUGGUGGGGUAAAGGCCGACCAAGGCCACGAUCCGUAACUGGUCUGAGAGGAGGAUCAGUCACACUGGAACUGAGACACGGUCCAGACUCCUACGGGAGGCAGCAGUGGGGAAUAUUGGACAAUGGGCGAAAGCCUGAUCCAGCCAUGCCGCGUGUGUGAAGAAGGUCUUCGGAUUGUAAAGCACUUUAGGUUGGGAGGCGGUACCAAAAGAAUAAGCACCGGCUAACUACGUGCCAGCAGCCGCGGUAAUAC